rnacentral:rRNA from 1 species
AUGCAGGGACUCCACCGCCGCUACCGAUGGAUCAAGGAGUGGGUUCCGCAGGACCUCGUCAUCGCCGGCGGCCCGUGCGCGCUUUACAAGUGGGUGCGAGAGGAUAGGUUGGCUGCUCUUAAGUCCAAGGACAAGGAAGAAGGGGCAUGCACUGCAAAGCCUGACCCUGCCACUGAGGUUCUUUUCUUAUGCAGCUAUGAUGGCUGUGGGAAAACUUUUGUUGAUGCAGGUGCUCUUAGGAAACAUGCCCACGUGCAUGGGGAGAGGCAGUAUGUCUGUCACUACGAGGGAUGUGGGAAGAAAUUUUUAGAUAGCUCUAAGUUGAAGAGGCAUUUUCUUAUUCAUACAGGCGAGAAGAACUUCGUCUGCCCUCAUGAAGGUUGUGGCAAGGCUUUCUCAUUGGAUUUUAAUUUGAAGGCACACAUGAAAACCCAUUUUGCGGAUAACUAUCAUAUGUGUCCAUACCCAGAAUGUGGUCGAAGAUUUACACAGGAAUCUAAACUAAGGGCUCAUUUCAGGGCACAGCAUGAGAAGUCUGGUGCACAGAAUCCAGGUGGGCCUGUAAUGAACCGCAAUGCACUAGGAGAUCACCCUCAUAACACAGCGAAAUCUCUGGUAACACCACCAGUUCCAUCAGCUGAUCGUCCGUAUGUCUGCCCUUACGAUGGGUGUGCCAAGGCAUACAUUCACGAGUACAAACUUAACCUCCAUUUGAAGAAAGAGCACCCCAACCACUAUUCAGAUGCUGGUGCUCAAGCUGGUCCGUCGAGGGGCACAGUAUCGAAGAAUUCCCGUAGAAGCAAGCCAAACCUCACAACCAGCAUGCCACUCGCCAAGAUCUCUAAGCGCAGCGGUUAUACGGUGCCAUCUCCAGCUGUCAGUAUCCCUGAGGAGCAUCAGUGGCCAAGGAAGGUGUUGUACGAAGAUGAUAGUGAGGAGACCGAGGAAGAGGGAGAUAACCUUGAGGAGGGGGGAUUGAGAUACAGAGCUGCUAGCGACGGCGAUGACGAUGAGGAGACGGAGGAAGAAGAAUGA